UGGACGGGGGGGGCAAGCGUUGUUCGGAAUUACUGGGCGUAAAGGGCUCGUAGGCGGCCAACUAAGUCAGACGUGAAAUCCCUCGGCUUAACCGGGGAACUGCGUCUGAUACUGGAUGGCUUGAGGUUGGGAGAGGGAUGCGGAAUUCCAGGUGUAGCGGUGAAAUGCGUAGAUAUCUGGAGGAACACCGGUGGCGAAGGCGGCAUCCUGGACCAACACUGACACUGAGGAGCGAAAGCCAGGGGAGCAAACGGG
rnacentral:rRNA from 1 species